CUGGGCAACAAGGGCGAAACUCUGUCUCAAAAAAUAAAUAAAUAAAAUAAAUAAAUAUUUCAAACUAUAUCUCCAAAUUAAGUUACAAAUUACAGGAUUCUGCUGGGUGUGGUGGCUCACGCCUGUAAUCGUAGCACUUUGGGAGGCCAAGGCGUAGCCACCAUAUCUGGCCUCCAUAAGAUUUCAAUUGGGAAAAAAGUGUUCUGCUGCUGAAAACAAAGCACGAGUACAAAAGCCACAGGUCUACAGAAUAUAAUCUGGCUUUGUUGUGCCAACUCAAUUUUCUCUUGCUUCUCUUUAUUAAUGGGUUCAUAUAUUUAGUAAUACUUUAAAACCUAGUAUUUGCCAGUUUUAAAGUAAUAAAGUAAUACUUUAAAACCAGUAUAUUGCCAUUGUCAACCAAUAAAAAAAGACAUGUCUGCACCUUCAGAAAAUCUACAGCCUACUAUAAGACAGAUUAGCAAUUACAAUGAAAGGUGCUAUAUACUCCUGAGAGAAAAAAAAAAAAAAACUCUGUAUGUAACCAGGGAAGUGAGAACAUUCUCCAAUCUUGAGUUUCAUAAAAAG